rnacentral:lncRNA from 1 species
GCGGAGCUACAAAGAAAAGCCUGGGCGGGCCAAUCUAAAAAAACACGAAAAAAAUUCAACCCAAGGAAAGGAUGAUGAGCUGCUGCUGAAAAGUCUUCCUCAACUUAAUCUGUAACGUACAUCUCUUUUUUCACUUGAAAACCAAAUCGAUUUUGCAUUGAUCAGCCUUGCUACCCAGUGCCUAUGGAAAUUAUCUACUAUCCAAAUUAGGAUGUGUAUUAUCAAUUCACUGAAUUUCGGAGUGCUAUAGCCUACAUUUUAUAGGAAAAUUAGACUGCCUGGGAGAUGAGAGUUUGUGGGUUGUGCAUGUGCCUGUGCUAGUGCAGCAGCGCUCGUCGCCUAGGUCUGCACUUGCCGUCACCCGACUGGGCGCAGCCGCUGCUAGCUGCCGCCUGGGGCGUGGCCAAGCCACCGCGGCAUGGGUCGCCCUGGAGCAUCCGCAGUCCGCAUCGCUCUAGUUCUACGCUGCUACUCGCUGCGGCCGUCAGCUGGACCUUAAUUUGCGGCUCCGCCCCACCUCUCUCUAUCCCUCUGUGCAGCUGUACGUGUGGCUCGUGCCCUAGCAUGGAGGGCGACUGAGGCUGGAUGCAAGGAGAGAAGCCUGACGAGGCGAGACAGCAUGCGAGUGAGGUAGUCGUGGGCUGGCCUGCACGUAUAUAGCUAUAUUUUUACCUCAGCGGCUGGGCGGGCCAUGGCACGCUUUUGCCCUCACGACGCUCCGCCAGUGGUCUGCACCAUUCGAGCUAGCAUGUUUUGCACCAAGAAAUUAAAGUGCACAGUGUUUUUUCAUCAAAUAUUCAUCUAUAGGCGUAUGACCUUUAUUUUGUUUAUUAAAGGCAGAACCAAUUGGCAGGCGCAACAGCUGCACCAUUUAUGUAGGCAACCACCCUGCAGACAUUCUUAAGAGGGAGGUUGAGGAUAUCUUUUACACGGUCCAUAUUCAAUUUUGUGUAAUGAUUUUGGCAUUAGCUUUCCUUGUGGCUUUGGCAAUUAUGUAAAGAUAAUUGACUAUAUCACAAACUAAUGAAGUUUUUGACCAAGUUUUCACUGUAAGUUGUACAUAGUAAGGAAACUAUGCUAUAGGUUGCAGCUCAUUUACAAGGCAUUGUAAGGAAUUAAAAUCGAUUUAUUCAUGCCUUAAUUUUAUUUAUCAUUAUGCAGCAUAGACGUAUUGUGGAUAUUGACUUGAAGAUUCCUCCAUGACCUCCUGGUUAUGCUUUUCUUGAGGUUAGUAUUUUGUCAUGGUCAUGUAGAAUUUUCACUGUAAUGUGAGGCUUGUACUUAGAAUUUGUAAUAGAAGUCUUAUUGUUAUUAUUUGGGAUUCAAAAUAGUCUCUUAACUAUGUGUAUAAUUUUUGGGUUGAUAUAACUAAUGAUCUUUUUAGUCCGAGGAUCCUUGUGAUGCCGAUGAUUUAAUUUAUGGUCGUGAUGGGUAUGACUUUGAUGGCUACGGGCUGCGGGUAUGCAUGUAGUGCAUGUUGCCUUUUUUUUGCUGAAAGCAAAGACUGAUUUCUGGUGCCUGUUUUUUUAAAAGGUAUUUCUCAGGUGGAAUUCACAUAUCAUGGUAUUCCUGUAUCGCGCACAUAUUGUCAUAUCAUGGUAUUCUUAUCUUGCACGCAUAUCGGAUACAUAUUUGGAAGUAGCAAAAUGUACUGGUGGUAUAACUGCAUAUAUACAUGUAUUGUUCAUAUGCAUUGUAUGUUUCUCUAAUGUGUUCUUGUAAUAUAAUUGUUUUACAAGCACACAAACUGAGUUUCAGAUCUUUAUUUUAUAUAUAGGUCUUAGAUUUCAAUUAUAGGUCCUACAUUUUGAUUAAAAACACAAAUGUAGAGUUGUAGGGAUUUUUAGUUCUGGAUUAUUUACCUCUCAUGUCGUGGACUACAAAUAUUGUGGUUGGACGAGAACAUUUUUUUGUUGUAUUUUAAGUCAAUGCAGACUGUUGUAGUUUUGAUAUCAUGAUAUCUGUUUUGUAAACAACCUUCGAUAACCUAGUGUUUUUGCUUGGGUUGGAUAAAAGAUACUUCUGGCGUAUAGCAGAAAACCCUGCUUGAUCGAAUGCUCUUGAUUUGUUUUCUUUUCUGCUGAAGCCUACUAUUUUAUGUUGUGCUUGUUUCCAAAUUCCGUUUGACAUACCUUUACAGUGCGCUGAUUUCCAUAGCUGCUAAACGUUUCCUGUAAUAUACCCUUAUUAUCCUCUAGGCUUGGUAAGAUCGGAUCUCAGCCUAAUGCUAGAGCUCUCUUCAGAUGGUUUCGACAAUUGAGCCUGACUCGGGAUAUCAGUCCUGAAUCUUUAUUUUUUUCUCGUGAAAUACUUACAACUUGGCAACUUGGCACGAGCCGCUAUUGCCUUGCGCUCUUGAAGAUAGUUGGUGAUUUUUCACGUGGGGAUUUCUAACAAGCAAUGACUAUGCCAUCUUUAAAGUUUCUAUUUGUUUUCUAGAUUUGUUUGUAAUCCUCCUGCUGCUGCUGUCUCUCUAAUUUCUAGACUUAUGAGGUUGUUGUGAAUGGUCUGAUUACAAGGGAUGCUACACUGCCUUAUCAGUAUGAUGGUUUAUGAUAUGUUGGCGAGGCUGUGCAAGGUCCAUUGCAUGGCCAUCUAGCAAGGUAAACACCAACCAUGUAUUCAGUAUAUUACUCCGAAUACCUUGAUAAUUUGUGUAAUGACCCUAUGCCAUUGCAGAAGUUCUUGUCAACAUCCUGUUGGGAAGGAAAUGCAUAAAGAACCUAGUAUUCGGUUGUCCGCAUCAAUUGGAUGAUUUUGUAAUGGAGGACAUUCCUUGCUAUUUGGAGAUGCUGCAUCUUUAGCUUUCAUUUUGUAAAACUGGAUCUAUGUCGUGUCUUUUGACACUCAACCAACAUGUGUAAUGCACUUAAUUAUCUUUGUUUUUGUAGCAAUCUAGGUGUAGUGACUCAUUAGAACGAAUGAACUAUUUGUAUGUGUGAUGAUCUAAUGUAUGAUGCUAUCAUUUUUUCCGUUGUGUCCUUCUGGAUUUAAGAUUAUGCAUGUUG